GAUGAGCAUGCGUCCCAUUAGCUUGUUGGUAAGGUAACGGCUUACCAAGGCAACGAUGGGUAGGGGUCCUGAGAGGGAGAUCCCCCACACUGGUACUGAGACACGGACCAGACUCCUACGGGAGGCAGCAGUGAGGAAUAUUGGUCAAUGGGCGCAAGCCUGAACCAGCCAUGCCGCGUGCAGGAUGAAGCAUCUAUGGUGUGUAAACUGCUUUUGUACGAGAAGAAACACUCCUACGUGUAGGAGCUUGACGGUAUCGUAAGAAUAAGGACCGGCUAACUCCGUGCCAGCAGCCGCGGUAAUACGGAGGGUCCAAGCGUUAUCCGGAAUCAUUGGGUUUAAAGGGUCCGUAGGCGGUUUUGUAAGUCAGUGGUGAAAGCCCAUCGCUCAACGGUGGAACGGCCAUUGAUACUGCAAGACUUGAAUUAUUGGGAAGUAACUAGAAUAUGUAGUGUAGCGGUGAAAUGCUUAGAGAUUACAUGGAAUACCAAUUGCGAAGGCAGGUUACUACCAAUAUAUUGACGCUGAUG
rnacentral:rRNA from 1 species